UCUGCUUCAUCACGGUUAAUGAACAUAGAUCUACUAUCACGUUCUAUGGUCCAUUGUAAGAUAUGAAGCAUAAAUCACACUGCUACCUCGCUAUCCGAUGCAAUCGAAAUCGUGCUGCAUUUGGACGUUGGUGAGCUACAUUC